GACGAACGCUGGCGGCGUGCCUAAUACAUGCAAGUAGAACGCACAGUUUAUACCGUAGCUUGCUACACCAUAGACUGUGAGUUGCGAACGGGUGAGUAACGCGUAGGUAACCUGCCUGGUAGCGGGGGAUAACUAUUGGAAACGAUAGCUAAUACCGCAUAAUAUUGAUUAUUGCAUGAUAAUUGAUUGAAAGAUGCUAUUGCAUCACUACCAGAUGGACCUGCGUUGUAUUAGCUAGUAGGUGAGGUAACGACUCACCUAGGCGACGAUACAUAGCCGACCUGAGAGGGUGAUCGGCCACACUGGGACUGAGACACGGCCCAGACUCCUACGGGAGGCAGCAGUAGGGAAUCUUCGGCAAUGGACGAAAGUCUGACCGAGCAACGCCGCGUGAGUGAAGAAGGUUUUCGGAUCGUAAAGCUCUGUUGUAAGAGAAGAACGGGUGUGAGAGUGGAAAGUUCACACUGUGACGGUAUCUUACCAGAAAGGGACGGCUAACUACGUG
rnacentral:rRNA from 1 species